GGUUUUAGCUCAGCGGUAGAGCACUCACCUUGCAUGUGUGAGGCCCUGGGUUCAAUCCUCAGCACCA
rnacentral:tRNA from 1 species